CCUAGUGGCGGACGGGUGAGUAACACGUAUGCAACCUGGCCGUCACAGGUGGAUAACCGGAAGAAAUUCCGACUAAUACAGCAUAACACUCCUGAGGGACAUCCCUUGGGAGUCAAAGGAGGCAACUCCGGUGACGGAUGGGCAUGCGGCGCAUUAGGUAGUUGGUAGGGUAACGGCCUACCAAGCCGACGAUGCGUAGGGGUUCUGAGAGGAAGGUCCCCCACAUUGGAACUGAGACACGGUCCAAACUCCUACGGGAGGCAGCAG
rnacentral:rRNA from 1 species